rnacentral:lncRNA from 1 species
GCACUUCCCAAAGCUCUGAGGAGGGGGACACCACCCACGAGUGGGCUGGGGGGUGGCGUGGGGCACUCACCAGCACCUCCCACACCCUGAGGUGAAUAUUCUGGUGGGGAACGACCUCAAAGAGCAGAGUGGGAGGCGAAUCGGCCCUUUUCCAGUCUUUUUCCCCUAAGAAGUAGAAAAGGACCGGGAAUGCUUCCCCCUAACGGCAGCACGAGGUGUGCGGAGUGGGAAACGCUGCUCCGGAUCCCGGCGCUGGAACGCAGCGGUGCGCUUGCGGUGCCCCUCGGGGGUACAACCCCGUGCAAAGGCCCGCAGCUGCACUGCACGGAUGGCAUUGCUGCUCUUCCCAUGGACGCUGCUCAGGCGCAGAGAUCUCCACGUCACCCCUUGGUUCAAUGUAUCUCGAGAAUGAAAUCAAAUCCUGCUCUUCUUUAUGCUCUGCUGUCCUCUGUUCCUAAGGAACCUGCAGCCCAGACAACAGCCAAGGGAAGCGAUUCUGCUCCAUCCCUCGCCAAUAACUCACUGAAUGACCUCAAGCCAAUCCAUCUUCCUCCUGUGCUACAUCCCGACCUGGUGACCAAAAGGACCUUCUCUGUGCUCACACAGCCCUUGACAGGAACCCCAGGUGGGACCUCAUCACAGCAAGGAAGACCCAGAGCAAAUCCUAAACCAGACCUUGGGCUCCAAAGAGCACUGAAAAUGCAGCGCUCCUCCCCAGGGGUGCUCUCCAGCUGCUAACAGUUGUUUUAACUCCACACUGGGAAGUCCUUGGAGCCAUCAGAAGGGUCACAGCAGCAGAGCCCAGGGAGGGAGAUGCACACAGUGCUCAGCCCUGGUGGGGAAUAAGGGUUAUCCAGGUAGCUAAAGAAAUGAGAAGUUCCUUCCUCGUGUGCCAGCAGCCCUUGGGUUUGCCUUCUGCUCAGGGCAAGAACUUCAAGGUCUUCUCAGCAAGCACCACCACCACUAGUAGCAGCAGUGUGCCGGCCCCCAGCAGACCGCACACGGCUGAUUUCCAUGCUCACAGCGCCCCAAAGGUAGCACCAAAUCCAUUCCAUUUCUUACAGCACCCAACCGGGGCCCUACGCGCAGCUUCCUUCCCAGGCUGCCACUGGGAGCGAUGGCCAAGCUCCGGCUGGAGGCGGGCUCCCACUCACCCCUGCACACACCGGCUGGGACGUGGUCAGAAAGUUUUGCAACAAACCCCC